rnacentral:rRNA from 1 species
UACACUCCUGCGGGAGGCAGCAGUGAGGAAUAUUGGACAAUGGGUGGAAGCCUGAUCCAGCCAUCCCGCGUGCAGGAAGACGGCCUUAUGGGUUGUAAACUGCUUUUAUCUGGGGAUAAACCUACUUACGUGUAAGUAGCUGAAGGUACCAGAAGAAUAAGCACCGGCUAACUCCGUGCCAGCCGCCGCGGUAAUACGGAGGGUGCAAGCGUUAUCCGGAUUUAUUGGGUUUAAAGGGUCCGUAGGCGGACUGAUAAGUCAGUGGUGAAAUCCGACAGCUUAACUGUCGAACUGCCAUUGAUACUGUUAGUCUUGAGUAAGGUUGAAGUGGCUGGAAUAAGUAGUGUAGCGGUGAAAUGCAUAGAUAUUACUUAGAACACCAAUUGCGAAGGCAGGUCACUAAGUCUUAACUGACGCUGAUGGACGAAAGCGUGGGGGGCGAACAGGAUGAGAUACCCGUGUAGUCCCAUG